UACGUAGGCGGAAAAUUAAGUCAGUGGUGAAAUCCUGCAGCUUAACUGUAGAACUGUCAUUGAUGCUGGUUUUCUUGAAUACAGUUGAGGUAGGCGGAAUGUGUAAUGUAGCGGUGAAAUGCUUAGAUAUUACACAGAACACCGAUUGCGAAGGCAGCUUACUAAACUGUUAUUGACGCUGAGGUACGAAAGCGUGGGGAGCGAACAGGAUUAGAUACCCUGGUAGUCC
rnacentral:rRNA from 1 species